ACCAGUAGCCAGACCAAUGUAGACCCUGCCUUAGCUGAACCUCUGAAGCUAAGCAGGUGGGCUUGGUUAGGACUGGAUGGGAGACCAACUGGGAACACUGAGCUGCUGCUGGAA
rnacentral:rRNA from 10 species